UGGGGUUUCACCAUGUUGGCCAGGCUGCUCUCAAACUCCAGACCUCAGGUGAUCUGCCCGCCUCGGCCUCCCGAAGUGCUGGGAUUACAGGCUUGAGCCACCACGCCUGGCCAAGAUUUUUCAAAUGCUUCUCACAAGCACUUUUUAAUUUACAAAGCAUUACUUUAGACUUUGUAUACAUUCAUGUGAGUAAGGGGACAAGAAUUUAAGGCCCAGUAGUAUUGCUUGUUCAGAAAGGUACUGCUCAGUAUUGGACCAGCUUGCUGUGUAGCUGGACACCUGAAAGACAUUUUCUACUUCUACAGGCAGAGACUGAGCAGCAUCUUGAUGCUCCCUAGUGCAUUAACAUAAGCAGAAUUUACACCCUUUUCAGCCUUGGCCGAGUGCCUCUGCUUAGCCAACAUUCCUACUAAGCUCCUUUGUCUCGAUUGUGUCUUGCUUUGGUUGCUAAAAAAAAAAUCUUAACUAAAAUAACAGAUGUUU
rnacentral:lncRNA from 10 species